rnacentral:rRNA from 1 species
UACAGGGGGGGCAAGCGUUGUUCGGAAUUACUGGGCGUAAAGGGCUCGUAGGUGGCCAACUAAGUCAGACGUGAAAUCCCUCAGCUUAACUGGGGAACUGCGUCUGAUACUGGAUGGCUUGAGUUUGGGAGAGGGAUGCGGAAUUCCAGGUGUAGCGGUGAAAUGCGUAGAUAUUGGGAGGAACACCAGUGGCGAAGGCGGCUCACUGGACCGGAACUGACGCUGAGGCGCGAAAGCCAGGGGAGCGAACGGG